AAAUUAUUAGUAGCACAUAUACUAAAAUUGGAAUGAUACUAAAGAGAUUAGCAUGACCCCUGUGUAAAGAUGACAUGCAAAUUUGUGAAGCAUUCCAUAUUUUU
rfam:Otolemur garnettii contig009079, whole genome shotgun sequence.